rnacentral:ribozyme from 1 species
AUCACCAAGAUAGCAACCUUUUUGAGUACCUCCAGCUCAAUAUCAAG